rnacentral:rRNA from 1 species
GACGAACGCUGGCGGCGUGCUUAACACAUGCAAGUCGAACGGAAAGGCCCUGCUUUUGUGGGGUGCUCGAGUGGCGAACGGGUGAGUAACACGUGAGUAACCUGCCCUUGACUUUGGGAUAACUUCAGGAAACUGGGGCUAAUACCGGAUAGGAGCUCCUGCUGCAUGGUGGGGGUUGGAAAGUUUCGGCGGUUGGGGAUGGACUCGCGGCUUAUCAGCUUGUUGGUGGGGUAGUGGCUUACCAAGGCUUUGACGGGUAGCCGGCCUGGUAGGGUGACCGGCCACACUGGGCCUGAGCUACGGCCCAGCCCCCUACGGGACGCAGCGGUGGGGAAUAUUGCACAAUGGGCUGAAGCCUGAUGCGGCAACGCCGCGUGCGGGACGACGGCCUUCGGUUUGUAAUCCGCUUUCGCCUGUGACGAAGCGUGAGUGACGGUAAUGGGUAAAGAAGCACCGGCUAACUACGUG